UACGAAGGGGGGGCUAGCGUUGUUUCGGAAUUACUGGGCGUAAAGCGCGCGCAGGCGGUCUUCCAAGUCAGUGGUGAAAGCCCGGAGUCAACUCCGGAACUGCCAUUUGAAACUGUUGGACUUGAGUACGAGAGAGGUGAGUGGAAUUCCCAGUGUAGAGGUGAAAUUCGUAGAUAUUGGGAAGAACACCGGUGGCGAAGGCGGGCUCACUGGCUCGUAACUGACGCUCGGCGCGGACGCGUGGG
rnacentral:rRNA from 1 species